ACCGUACUCUCCCAGUCGUUCAGUCCGCGCCCCGACACGCAAUCACGCGCACACUUCUCGUCGUCUCGCUGAGAAUCCGAACUUUCCGUUUCCUUUUUUUUUCUCUUUACGCUCUCGCUUGUGACUCGAGAGUUCUUCGAGUGGCUGCCACGCGCGUCUUACACCCGCCGAUUCUUCUUGUUGUCGCGAUUACUCUUUUCCCUUUCAACGUGACGCGACUACACGCGGUCCUCUUUGGUUCUAACAAAGCGAGAUCAACGCGAAGCCAAACUAAUUAUCCAUAACUAACCAGUGUGCCCAUUAUGACAACUCUGAGGAUUCCUCCGCAUCGUCUUAAGUCGUAAAAGCAUCGGGAAAAUAGCAUUCUCCGUGAAAAGGGAAACACCGUAAACUAUCAACGAAAUUAACGCAUGUGUAUCUAAUCCAUUAACACAUCGUGGGUUUCGGAUACCUGAUCGACAAAACUAAUAUCCGAGGGGUUAAUUUAAACACUCCAUCUCUGAAGAGAGGGAACAACGUGGUUGUACGCGAGAAAGGGAUUCGAAGAAGCCUGCGAGUACGGCGUCAGGAGAUCGCGGGGCCCUCCUCUGAAAAAAGGGGCUCCGCACGAGAAGGGGCACGUAAACGUACCCCUGGACCCGUCGUGGUGUUGUCCGCCGGGGGUGGCGGUGGUGG